rnacentral:rRNA from 1 species
CCUACGGGUGGCAGCAGUGAGGAAUAUUGGUCAAUGGGCGGAAGCCUGAACCAGCCAAGUAGCGUGCAGGAUGACGGCCCUACGGGUUGUAAACCGCUUUUAUACGGGAAUAACGCGCCUUACGUGUAGUGCUUUGCAUGUACCGUAUGAAUAAGGACCGGCUAAUUCCGUGCCAGCAGCCGCGGUAAUACGGAAGGUCCGGGCGUUAUCCGGAUUUAUUGGGUUUAAAGGGAGCGUAGGCGGCAUUUCAAGCGUGCGGUGAAAUGUCCGGGCUCAACCCGGGCCUUGCCGUGGAAACUGGCGUGCUUGAGUCGGCGUAAGGCAGGCGGAAUGCGUGGUGUAGCGGUGAAAUGCUUAGAUAUGACGAAGAACCCCGAUUGCGAAGGCAGCUUGCUGCAGCGGAACUGACGCUGAUGCUCGAAAGCGCGGGUAUCGAACAGGAUUAGAUACCCGGGUAGUC